UCUUGGUCAUUUAGAGGAAGUAAAAGUCGUAACAAGGUUUCCGUAGGUGAACCUGCGGAAGGAUCAUUAAUGAAAUCAUAUUCUCCUUUGGAGUUUCUUCUAGCUGAUGCGCCUUUGGCUGCACGCUGUUGUAACUCUUUGGGGGUUAUAUUUCCACAAACCCUUCUGUGCAUAUUGGGAGGCUUUAUUGUCCUCUCCUAACUCAUAUACUCUAAUGUUUAAUCAUGUCAUACAAUGUUAAAUACAUUAAACAACUUUCAACAACGGAUCUCUUGGCUCUCGCAUCGAUGAAGAACGCAGCGAAAUGCGAUAAGUAAUGUGAAUUGCAGAAUUCAGUGAAUCAUCGAAUUUUUGAACGCACCUUGCGCUCCUUGGUAUUCCGAGGAGCAUGCCUGUUUGAGUGUCAUGUUAAUUCUCAAACCUUUGUGUUUGGUUUUGGAGGCUCUGCUUGUCUCAAAGCUCCUCUCAAAUGCAUUGGCUAACUUGGGCUGGAUUUAUCUCAGUGUUGUAAUCUACUGCGCUGAAAAAACUAGCUUUGAGUUGGCUGACUUAACAUUUCUUGUACUCUGACCUCAAAUCAGGUAGG
rnacentral:rRNA from 1 species